rnacentral:rRNA from 2 species
UGGGGAAUAUUGCACAAUGGGCGAAAGCCUGAUGCAGCAACGCCGCGUGAGCGAUGAAGGCCUUCGGGUCGUAAAGCUCUGUCCUCAAGGAAGAUAAUGACGGUACUUGAGGAGGAAGCCCCGGCUAACUACGUGCCAGCAGCCGCGGUAAUACGUAGGGGGCUAGCGUUAUCCGGAUUUACUGGGCGUAAAGGGUGCGUAGGCGGUCUUUUAAGUCAGGAGUGAAAGGCUACGGCUCAACCGUAGUAAGCUCUUGAAACUGGAGGACUUGAGUGCAGGAGAGGAGAGUGGAAUUCCUAGUGUAGCGGUGAAAUGCGUAGAUAUUAGGAGGAACACCAGUAGCGAAGGCGGCUCUCUGGACUGUAACUGACGCUGAGGCACGAAAGCGUGGGGAGCAAACA